GACGAACGCUGGCGGCGUGCUUAACACAUGCAAGUCGAACGGAAAGGCCCUGCUUUUGUGGGGUGCUCGAGUGGCGAACGGGUGAGUAACACGUGAGUAACCUGCCCUUGACUUUGGGAUAACUUCAGGAAACUGGGGCUAAUACCGGAUAGGAGCUCCUGCUGCAUGGUGGGGGCUGGAAAGUUUCGGCGGUUGGGGAUGGACUCGCGGCUUAUCAGCUUGUUGGUGGGGUAGUGGCUUACCAAGGCUUUGACGGGUAGCCGGCCUGAGAGGGUGACCGGCCACAUUGGGACUGAGAUACGGCCCAGACUCCUACGGGAGGCAGCAGUGGGGAAUAUUGCACAAUGGGCGGAAGCCUGAUGCAGCAACGCCGCGUGCGGGAUGACGGCCUUCGGGUUGUAAACCGCUUUCGCCUGUGACGAAGCGUGAGUGGCGGUAAUGGGUAAAGAAGCACCGGCUAACUACGUG
rnacentral:rRNA from 1 species